AGGUUGCUCAGAGAAGUUCUGGCUGCCCCAUCCCUGGAAGUGUUCAAGGCCAGGCUGGAUGGGUCUCACAACAACCUGGUGUAGUGAAAGUUGUCCCUGU